UAUGAGAUGGCUGAAAUAGUGUAAAUUUUUUAAAUUUAAUAUAGUGUAUACUUCUCGUGA
rnacentral:tRNA from 1 species